rnacentral:rRNA from 1 species
ACAUUCCAACAACAUAGUGUUAAUUCACUAGAUUCCAUUAGAACUCAACAAUUAAGCAUGCUCAAGAUAGAGUAGUAUAGGGAUGGGUGACCUCCUGGGAAGACCUAGUAUUUUACAUGCC